ensembl:lncRNA
AUGAGUUGGCACCUCUCUGCUUUGUCUCUCCUUCCACCCCGUCCACAUGGACAUUGCUGGGGCAGUUAUCUUCUCCUGUUUCUUCCACUGUACAUUUUCAUGUCAUGGGUAGAUAACUGGUCUUUUAACCAUAGGAUUACAAAUAUGGAACCCAUCAAGAAAACUGCAUCCAGAAUGUCCAAGAUGUCCAAGAACUGGAACCAGAUAUUGGUUUGGCCACAUGGGAUGGGAAAGUGUUGGAGGAGGUCAUGGAAAGGACAUGACUGCUGCUUGACUGGUGAGCUGGACCUGGGCCGUUGGAAGCUUUUCAUCCCUCCUUUGUCCUUGGAACAUUCUGCCUGUUGUUCCCACAGCUGGGGCCAUUUUCAAGGAUGCAGCCUUGAGAGAAUACGUUGAGACCAUCUGGACCUUACCAGUGACUAAACCCAGUUAAGGUUUCUAUGUGGACUCUAAGAUUCCGGUGGCUGGUAAGGAGAUCUCCUGUUUUGUAUCUGCCAACACAAGAGUUGUAUAUAAAUUUCCUUGCUUAUUAAAACUGCCAUCUGUCAAUCUGGAGUGGUCUGCCCCUUUCUUCUCUCUCUCCUUACCCUCUGUGUAUGGGGCCCGUUUGGAAUUUCCUGCUGGGGAACUCCUAAGGUUGGGAGCCAAUGGAAGGCUCAUUCCAAAGUACCUCUAGUCUACCCAGGACCCAGGGAAGGAUGGCUCCCAGGGGGUUCACCUAGAAUCUUCUCUGAGGGUUAUACAGUUCAAUGAAGGGUACUGAGAGUGAGUUACAAAGAUUUCCCAGGAUUCAUGACACAUUUAAGUGAAACAUCUAUUCAGGUAACUUAUCUUGCAGGAGUUAAACUUUCAUUAGGACAAUAAUCAGGGCUGUAUUUCCAGGCUUAUGGAAACAGUUAACUUGCUCUGCUACAGAAGCACUUGAUAGAACAAUCAGCAGCUGCCUCUGUUCCCACAAACACUGCAGAUGAUUUGGUACUGGUGAAGCAGGAGAUAUAUGAGUCCCAGGCUGAGCAGCUAUAAUCUGUUCCCUGUGGACAGAUAACUUCAAGAUAAAGAUUAUGACAGGAGCCAGGAGGAGCUGCAUCCUACUUGGAUAAAAGAUAGAGACCACCUAUUUCUCAUUCUUGAGCUCAAAGAGACCUCAGGCACUACACACUUGCAGAAAGGUUCCUCAGGGGCCAGAGAAGGGAGGGGCACCAGACCAUUACACAUCCCGUCGACUUCCCAGAAGCCCUAGCACUAGUACCCAUCCUGGCUAAACGAUGCCCACGCACAUAGGGGAGAGCCCCGAAUCAGGCGAAAUAUGGACUGAAGGCCAGAUGAAGCAAGAUGAUUGGCCACAGAAAGCCAAGAAGGACUGGCCCCAUACAAGUGAUUUAAAUGACCUCCAAAGCACAUGUUGCUCUCCUCCCCUCUUGCUCUCUCUGUGUCUCUGUCUCUCUCUCCACCCCACCCUGAGCCUGCUUGUGCUUUACUCCACACCUAUCUUCUCUCUCCUCUCUCUCUUUUUUUUAAUUUUUAUUUAUUUAUUUUUUGUCUUUUUGUCUUUUAUUGUUGUUGUUGUUGUUUUCUUGGGCCGGGCCGCUCCCGCGGCAUAUGGAGGUUCCCAGGCUAGGGGUCGAAUCAGAGCUGUAGCCACUGG